rnacentral:rRNA from 1 species
GACGAACGCUGGCGGCGUGCCUAAUACAUGCCAGUCGAGCGAAGUUUUUCUGGUGCUUGCACUAGAAAAACUUAGCGGCGAACGGGUGAGUAACACGUAAAGAACCUGCCUCAUAGACUGGGACAACUAUUGGAAACGAUAGCUAAUACCGGAUAACAGUAUUUCUCGCAUGAGGGAUAUUUAAAAGUUGGUUAUGCUAACACUAUGAGAUGGCUUUGCGGUGCAUUAGCUAGUUGGUGGGGUAAAGGCCCACCAAGGCGACGAUGCAUAGCCGACCUGAGAGGGUGAUCGGCCACACUGGGACUGAGACACGGCCCAGACUCCUACGGGAGGCAGCAGUAGGGAAUCUUCCGCAAUGGGCGAAAGCCUGACGGAGCAACGCCGCGUGAGUGAAGAAGGAUUUCGGUUCGUAAAGCUCUGUUGUUAGGGAAGAAUGGAUAUGUAGUAACUAUACAUGUAAGAGACGGUACCUAACCAGAAAGCCACGGCUAACUACGUG